rnacentral:misc_RNA from 1 species
CUGAGUUUACACUCUCAAACCAUGUGAAUCUACCACUGUUGCCUCGGUGGUUGGCUUCUAGAAAUAGGAGUCGCCGCCGGCGGACAAACUAAAUUCUUGUCAACUUUGUCAAAUCUGAAUCAAAACUAAGAAAUAAGUUA